rnacentral:rRNA from 1 species
AUUGAACGCUGGCGGCAUGCCUUACACAUGCAAGUCGAACGGCAGCACGGGAGCAAUCCUGGUGGCGAGUGGCGAACGGGUGAGUAAAAUAUCGGAACGUGCCCAGUCGUGGGGGAUAACGUAGCGAAAGUUACGCUAAUACCGCAUACGAUCUAUGGAUGAAAGCGGGGGAUCGCAAGACCUCGCGCGAUUGGAGCGGCCGAUAUCAGAUUAGGUAGUUGGUGGGGUAAAGGCUCACCAAGCCGACGAUCUGUAGCUGGUCUGAGAGGACGACCAGCCACACUGGGACUGAGACACGGCCCAGACUCCUACGGGAGGCAGCAGUGGGGAAUUUUGGACAAUGGGCGAAAGCCUGAUCCAGCCAUGCCGCGUGCAGGAUGAAGGCCUUCGGGUUGUAAACUGCUUUUGUACGGAACGAAAAGGUUUGGUCUAAUAAGCUGAGCUCAUGACGGUACCGUAAGAAUAAGCACCGGCUAACUACGUGCCAGCAGCCGCAGUAA